UACGUAGGCAGCAAGCGUUGUUCGGAAUUACUGGGCGUAAAGAGUGUGUAGGCGGUGCUCUAAGUUCGGUGUGAAAUCUCCCGGCUUAACUGGGAGGGUGCGCCGGAAACUGGAGUGCUCGAGCGUGGGAGAGGAAAGCGGAAUUCCUGGUGUAGCGGUGAAAUGCGCAGAUAUCAGGAAGAACACCCGUGGCGAAAGCGGCUCUCUGGAACGGUACUGACGCUGAGACGCGAAAGCGUGGGGAGCGAACAGG
rnacentral:rRNA from 1 species